rnacentral:rRNA from 1 species
AGAUUGAACGCUGGCGGCAGGCCUAACACAUGCAAGUCGAGCGGUAGAGAGGUGCUUGCACCUCUUGAGAGCGGCGGACGGGUGAGUAAUGCCUAGGAAUCUGCCUAGUGGUGGGGGAUAACGUUCGGAAACGGACGCUAAUACCGCAUACGUCCUACGGGAGAAAGCGGGGGACCUUCGGGCCUCGCGCCAUUAGAUGAGCCUAGGUCGGAUUAGCUAGUUGGUGAGGUAAUGGCUCACCAAGGCGACGAUCCGUAACUGGUCUGAGAGGAUGAUCAGUCACACUGGAACUGAGACACGGUCCAGACUCCGUACGGGAGCAGCA